rnacentral:rRNA from 1 species
GAGUUUGAUCCUGGCUCAGGAUGAACGCUAGCGGCAGGCUUAACACAUGCAAGUCGAGGGGUAACAGGGUAGCUUGCUAUUGCUGACGACCGGCGCACGGGUGCGUAACGCGUAUACAAUCUGCCUUAUACUGGGGUAUAGCCUUUAGAAAUGAAGAUUAACCCCCCAUAGUCUCUUUAGGUGGCAUCACUUUUAGAGUAAAGGUUACGGUAUAAGAUGAGUAUGCGUUCUAUUAGUUUGUUGGUAAGGUAACGGCUUACCAAGACUACGAUAGAUAGGGGCCCUGAGAGGGGGAUCCCCCACACUGGUACUGAGACACGGACCAGACUUCUACGGAAGGCAGCAGUAAGGAAUAUUGGACAAUGGAGGAAACUCUGAUCCAGCGAUGCCGCGUGAAGGAAGACGGCCCUAUGGGUUGUAAACUUCUUUUAUACAGGAAGAAACCUUUCCACGUGUGGAAAGCUGACGGUACUGUAAGAAUAAGGAUCGGCUAACUCCGUGCCAGCAGCCGCGGUAAUACGGAGGAUCCAAGCGUUAUCCGGAAUUAUUGGGUUUAAAGGGUCCGCAGGCUGUUUGUUAAGUCAGGGGUGAAAUCCUACCGCUCAACGGUAGAACUGCCUUUGAUACUGGCAAACUUGAGUUAUUGUGAAGUAGUUAGAAUGUGUAGUGUAGCGGUGAAAUGCAUAGAUAUUACACAGAAUACCAAUUGCGAAGGCAGAUUACUAACAAUUAACUGACGCUGAGGGACGAAAGCGUGGGUAGCGAACAGGAUUAGAUACCCUGGUAGUCCACGCCGUAAAUGAUGGUCACUAGCUGUUCGAUGUACAUUGGUACAUUGAGUGGCUAAGCGAAAGUGAUAAGUGACCCACCUGGGGAGUACGCUCGCAAGAGUGAAACUCAAAGGAAUCGACGGGGGCCCGCACAAGCGGUGGAGCAUGUGGUUUAAUUCGAUGAUACGCGAGGAACCUUACCAGGACUUAAAUGUAAGUUGCAUGAUUCAGAAAUGGAUCUUUCUUCGGACUACUUACAAGGUGCUGCAUGGUUGUCGUCAGCUCGUGCCGUGAGGUGUCAGGUUAAGUCCUAUAACGAGCGCAACCCCUAUCGUUAGUUGCCAUCAAGUAAAGUUGGGAACUCUAGCGAAACUGCCGGUGCAAACCGUGAGGAAGGUGGGGAUGACGUCAAAUCAUCACGGCCCUUACGUCCUGGGCCACACACGUGCUACAAUGGUCAGUACAGAAAGCAGCCACUAUGCGAAUAGGAGCUAAUCUUCAAAGCUGAUCUCAGUUCGGAUCGGAGUCUGCAACUCGACUCCGUGAAGCUGGAAUCGCUAGUAAUCGGAUAUCAGCCAUGAUCCGGUGAAUACGUUCCCGGGCCUUGCACACACCGCCCGUC